rnacentral:rRNA from 1 species
GACGAACCGUGCGAACGUUGUUCGGAAUCACUGGGCUUAAAGGGCGCGUAGGCGGCUCCGCCAGUCGGGGGUGAAAUCCCACGGCCUAACCGUGGAAGUGCCUCCGAUACUGCGGGGCUGGAGGGAGGUAGGGGCAGCGGGAACUUCGGGUGGAGCGGUGAAAUGCGUUGAUAUCCGAAGGAACGCCGGUGGCGAAAGCGCGCUGCUGCACCUCUUCUGACGCUGAGGCGCGAAAGCCAGGGGAGCAAACGGG